GGUAAGGUGUCAGUGUUGAAGCAUUAGGCUGUGGUCCUUUUUCCAGAGGUUCAAUUCCUCUUCUUACCG
rnacentral:tRNA from 1 species